CCAAGUACCAGAACAAAUGGUGGGCCUGGAAAGGCAAUUCUGCUCUGAGGAACGUGAAACAAGCAUAAACCGAAUGUGAUGGCAGAGCUGUCACACCUUGUGGCCAUCGAUUACAUUUCCACUGACCGUUCUAUCACUCUCCAGAAGGGUGAUCAUGCCUGUGCUGCUCCCAGAAGACCCAGAUCCACCGAAAGAAAUGCAAUCCUUCCCCACAGGCAGCCUUUCCUGAGGAGAAGAAGGAGCUUCUCUAAUUGUCACAUGAGUAGAAAAUGUUGAAGAGACCUGCCUCUUUCAGAGGAAGGGAAAGUUUCACGUCCACCAUACAGUCAGCUCUACAAGGGCAAGCCUGCCUGAUUCACCAGCCGUAUUCACAGAACUAUGCUGGAAAAGCAAUUGUGGGAUAACUAAGUUUGGAUCAAUAAAUGAAUGUGUAAAAGA